rnacentral:ribozyme from 1 species
UGUCCAGCAACUCCUAUCCCUACCUCCACGCGGUACCGGCCGGAAACUAUGAGCAUUGGGAGCACCCGCAUACUCGCUGAUCUACUGAAGGACCGCGGG